UCCCAGGGCUCCGGGGCAGGGACGGGCACCCCGCCGGGGUGGGCAGGCACAGCCGCGGCUGCUCCGUCCCUGGAAGCGCCCUGGACAGGGCUUGGAGCAGCCUGCUCUGGUGGAAGGUGUCCUUGCUCUGCAGCAAGGUGUUCUUUAAGGUCCUCCCACCACCCAAACCAAUCUAUGGGUCUUAUUCUCCAAGAGUUUUCAAGAACGCCUGGUGAAUACUUCAUGGCCAUGAAGAAAUUCUUCCCAAAGAAGGUAGACAGGGCCUGGAACAGCACCAAGAGCUUACAGAGGUUGAGAAGGCCUCUCCAACCUGAGGGGUUGCAGAGGUUGAGAAGGCCUCUCCAACCUGAGGGGUUGCAGAGGUUGAGAAGGCCUCUCCAACCUGAGGGGUUGCAGAGGUUGAGAAGGCCUCUCCAACCUGAGGGGUUGCAGAGGUUGAGAAGGCCUCUCCAACCUGAGGGGUUGCAGAGGUUGAGAAGGCCUCUCCAACCUGAGGGGUUGCAGAGGUUGAGAAGGCCUCUCCAACCUGAGGGGUUGCAGAGGUUGAGAAGAUCUCUCCAGCCUGAGAGGUUGCAGAGGUUGCAGAUAACCAGAACUUGCCCAGACAAAGCCCUCUGAUGUAGUUUUAGAGCUGGCUUUGCUUUGAGUAGAGGGCUGGAGCAGGUGAUAUCCAGACAUACCUUCCUGCCAGAAUUGUAGGAUUUUUUUCCCUGUGUGUGAGUUUAAUGAGGACAGGUAAUUAUAGGAGAACUGCUGACUUGGUCAACUGAAAGAAACGAAGAUAAUUUAUUUGUACCAGUACAUUUUUGCAUUUUUCAGGCACAGCGUGAUACCCACACUAGAGAAAUAACUGAGAGUGAUCAUCCCUCCCCU